rnacentral:rRNA from 1 species
AGUGAACGCUGGCGGUAGGCCUAACACAUGCAAGUCGAACGGCAGCACAGUAAGAGCUUGCUCUUACGGGUGGCGAGUGGCGGACGGGUGAGGAAUACAUCGGAAUCUACUUUUUCGUGGGGGAUAACGCAGGGAAACUUACGCUAAUACCGCACACGACCUACGGGUGAAAGCAGGGGAUCUUCGGACCUUGCGCGAUUGAAUGAGCCGAUGUCGGAUUAGCUAGUUGGCGGGGUAAAGGCCCACCAAGGCGACGAUCCGUAGCUGGUCUGAGAGGAUGAUCAGCCACACUGGAACUGAGACACGGUCCAGACUCCUACGGGAGGCAGCAGUGGGGAAUAUUGGACAAUGGGCGCAAGCCUGAUCCAGCCAUACCGCGUGGGUGAAGAAGGCCUUCGGGUUGUAAAGCCCUUUUGUUGGGAAAGAAAAGCAGCAGGUUAAUACCCCGCUGUUCUGACGGUACCCAAAGAAUAAGCACCGGCUAACUUCGUG